UACGUAGGGUGCGAGCGUUGUCCGGAAUUACUGGGCGUAAAGAGCUCGUCGGUGGUUUGUCGCGUUGUUCGUGAAAACUCACAGCUUAACUGUGGGCGUGCGGGCGAUACGGGCAGACUGGAGUACUGCAGGGGAGACUGGAAUUCCUGGUGUAGCGGUGGAAUGCGCAGAUAUCAGGAGGAACACCGGUGGCGAAGGCGGGUCUCUGGGCAGUAACUGACGCUGAGGAGCGAAAGCGUGGGGAGCGAACAGG
rnacentral:rRNA from 1 species